GCGGAUGUGGCGAAAUUGGCAGACGCGCUAGCCUUAGGAGCUAGUGAGGAAACUCAUGGGGGUUCAAGUCCCUCCAUCCGCA
rnacentral:tRNA from 1 species